AUACGAAGGGGGCAAGCGUUGUUCGGAAUAACUGGGCGUAAAGCGCACGUAGGCGGAAUGUUAAGUUAGAGGUGAAAUCCCAGGGCUCAACCCUGGAACGGCCUUUAAUACUGGCAAUCUAGAGACCGAGAGAGGUGAGUGGAAUUCCGAGUGUAGAGGUGAAAUUCGUAGAUAUUCGGAGGAACACCAGUGGCGAAGGCGGCUCACUGGCUCGGUACUGACGCUGAGGUGCGAAAGCGUGGGGAGCAUACAGGAUUAGAAACCCCAGUAGUCC
rnacentral:rRNA from 1 species